CCUACGGGGGGCAGCAGUGAGGAAUAUUGGUCAAUGGCCGGAAGGCUGAACCAGCCAAGUCGCGUGAGGGACGACUGCCCUAUGGGUUGUAAACCUCUUUUAUAAGGGAAGAAUAAAUGCUACGUGUAGCAUGAUGCCUGUACCUUAUGAAUAAGCAUCGGCUAACUCCGUGCCAGCAGCCGCGGUAAUACGGAGGAUGCGAGCGUUAUCCGGAUUUAUUGGGUUUAAAGGGUGCGUAGGCGGUUUUUUAAGUUAGUGGUUAAACGUCGGGGCUUCACCUUGAUUUGCCAUUAAUACUGUAAGACUCGAGUUCAGACGAGGUAGGCGGAAUAAGUUAAGUAGCGGUGAAAUGCUUAGAUAUAACUUAGAACUCCGAUAGCGAAGGCAGCUUACCGGACUGCGACUGACGCUGAAGCACGAGAGCGUGGGUAGCGAACAGGAUUAGAUACCCCUGUAGUC
rnacentral:rRNA from 1 species